UGAGUUUCUCUUGACAACAUGGACGUCGUUAGGUCUGUUUUAGGGGGCUGAAGCUACCCCAAAAUUUUCCUAAGCCCCCCCAAAUAAUAUUAA